rnacentral:misc_RNA from 1 species
GGAUCAUUAUACCAGGUUUAAGCAGUCCUCUUCUUCCCUCGAUGUUGAUAUUGGUUCUGGAGCUGGUGAUCAAGAGCCAUAUGGUCAGAUAGUGCACCCAAACUCAAGCUUAGGAACCCCAGUUCCACAUUCUGAUGCCAGUGAUGAUGAGUCAGAUGAGGAACUUGCAAAACAGACUCAAGAGCCAUACAUUCAUAAAGCAGCACCCGAAGUGAAUAAAAAAUCAGGCUUAAGGAGCUAUUUUGACUUAGAUAAUAGUGAUUCUGAGGAGGAACUUCCUAAUCAGACAGUAACCAAAACUCGUCCAGGUCCUGGAUUGUCUAGACGGACAAAACAGACUGUAACCAGCAACACUCU